GAAAGAUUAUUAUUUAAGAAAGAUGGGAAACUGAUGACAUUGGUGGAAAUGGAGUUUUCUGUUGAUGCAGCAUCUUCGGCCAUUAAAAAAUGUGGUCAUAAUGCAUCUAUUUUGAAGCUAACUGACUCCAUACAUGCUGCCGGGUUUGGCAGAGGGUAAUGGAAAUUUAGUUUCUCCAUCGAGAUCUUCAUGUAAUGAGAGUUGUGUUAGUAGUUCCCAUGUUCGCAAGAAAAGAAGAAAAUA
rnacentral:misc_RNA from 1 species